AGUCAUGUGAUAAACACAUAGCGAAUUGUUCUUUCGCCUUUUACUAAAGAAUACCGUGUGUUUGUCAUAUUAAGUGACAUACACCUAUUUUUGAAAGAGUGUUUGUCAUAUUAA
rnacentral:snRNA from 1 species